GUGCCAGCAGCCGCGGUAAUACGGAGGGUGCAAACGUUGCUCGGAAUCAUUGGGCGUAAAGCGCACGUAGGCGGCGGCGUAAGCGGGAUGUGAAAGCCCAGGGCUCAACCCUGGAAGUGCAUCCCGAACUGUGUCGCUUGAAUCUCGGAGGGGGACAGAGAAUUCCCGGUGUAGAGGUGAAAUUCGUAGAUAUCGGGAGGAAUACCAGUGGCGAAGGCGCUGUCCUGGACGAAGAUUGACGCUGAGGUGCGAAAGCGUGGGGAGCAAACAGGAUUAGAAACCCUGGUAGUCC
rnacentral:rRNA from 1 species